rnacentral:rRNA from 1 species
GUGUCAGUAGCCGCGGUAAAACCAGCACNUCAAGUGGUCAGGAUGAUUAUNGGGCCUAAAGCAUCCGUAGCCGGCUCAGUAAGUUUNCGGUUAAAUCUGUACGCUCAACGUACAGGCUGCCGGGAAUACUGCAGAGCUAGGGAGUGGGAGAGGUAGACGGUACUCGGGAGGAAGUGGUAAAAUGCUUUGAUCUUUCGAUGACCACCUGUGGCGAAGGCGGUCUACCAGAACACGUCCGACGGUGAGGGAUGAAAGCUGGGGGAGCAAACCGGAUUAGAUACCCGGGUAGUCCCAGCUGUAAACUAUGCAAACUCAGUGAUGCAUUGACUUAUGGUCAAUGCAGUGUUGCAGGGAAGCCGUUAAGUUUGCCGCCUGGGAAGUACGUACGCAAGUAUGAAACUUAAAGGAAUUGGCGGGGGAGCACCACAAGGGGUGAAGCCUGCGGUUCAAUUGGAGUCAACGCCAGAAAUCUUACCCGGAGAGACAGCAGAAUGAAGGUCAAGCUGAAGACUUUACCAGACAAGCUGAGAGGUGGUGCAUGGCCGUCGCCAGCUCGUGCCGUGAGAUGUCCUGUUAAGUCAGGUAACGAGCGAGAUCCCUGCCUCUAGUUGCCACCAUUACUCUCAGGAGUAGUGGGGCGAAUUAGCGGGACCGCCGCAGUUAAUGCGGAGGAAGGAAGGGGCCACGGCAGGUCAGUAUGCCCCGAAACUCUGGGGCCACACGCGGGCUGCAAUGGUAACGACAAUGGGUUCCAAACCCGAAAGGAAGAGGUAAUCCUCAAACGUUACCACAGUUAUGACUGAGGGCUGCAACUCGCCCUCACGAAUAUGGAAUCCCUAGUAACUGCGUGUCAUUAUCGCGCGGUGAAUACGUCCCUGCUCCUUGCACACACCGCCCGUC